rfam:Picea glauca, whole genome shotgun sequence.
AUGCAAUGUAAUUCCUACAAUGUGAAUACACAAUAUCCCAUUAGAAUUCUCCAGUUAAGCGCACUUGGGAUAUAUUAGUACUAGGAUGGGUAACCUCCCAGGAAGUCCUACUAUUUUACAUG